AACGCACAUUGCGCCCGCUAGUACUCUAGCGGGCAUGCCUGUUCGAGCGUCAUUUCAACCCUCAAGCCCCCCGGGCUUGGUGUUGGGGAUCGGCCGCCGGUGCGCCUCGGCGCCCCUUGGCCGGCCCCUAAAUACAGUGGCGGUACGGCUGUAGUCCUCCCCUGCGUAGUAGCACACCUCGCACCGGAGCUCGGCCUGACCACGCCGUAAAACCCCCCCCCAACUUCUGAAUGUUGACCUCGGAUCAGGUAGGAAUACCCGCUGAACUUAA
rnacentral:misc_RNA from 1 species